rnacentral:rRNA from 1 species
ACUCCUACGGGAGGCAGCAGUGGGGAAUAUUGCACAAUGGGGGAAACCCUGAUGCAGCCAUGCCGCGUGUGUGAAGAAGGCCUUCGGUUGUAAAGACACUUUCUAGUAGGGAGGAAGGUAGUGUAGUUAACACCUGCAUUAUUUGUACGUUACCUACAGAAGAAGCACCGGCUAACUCCGUGCCAGCAGCCGCGGUAAGUACGGAGGGUGCGAGCGUUAAUCGGAAUUACGUGGGCGUAAAGCGCAUGCAGGCGGCCUGUUAAGUCAGAUGUGAAAGCCCGGGGUCUUAACCUCGGAAUUGCAUUUGAAACUGGCAGGCUAGAGUCUUGUAGAGGGGUUAGGAAUUUCAGGUGUAGCGGUGAAAUGCGUAGAGAUCUGAAGG